AUAGCUGAGAGACUUUAAAAAGAUGGUGGCAGGAAUAGUAGUCUGCCUCUGCCACCAGGAUCAUUAUCUCUUAUUGCCAUAAUUUUGGGGUAGGCUGCUUGUGUCUGUGUAGCUCUUUACCUUCCAGAUGGCCUACAGGUGCUAUACAGAAUCAGCAUUAAAGUCUGCUUGCAUAAGGUUUUAGGGAGGGAACAUUCGCUUGAAAAAAACUCAGCUUCUCAAAAUGCAUAAAUAUUCUGUCAGUGGAUUUUUUGACCCAGAAUCCAGAUUUUCAAAUGUUUUUUUUUUGCUUAAGAAGGGGGAUAGGCUUUAAGAAGAUGCCCCUUCUUGCCUCGUUGGUAACAUCAGGGCAGGGUCUACACCAACACCAGGUGUUUGGCAUCAUUCAGGGAUCUGCUCAAGGCUAGAGUUUCUGUUUUGCAGAAGCCAGUGGAGGUUUUUGAAGUCUGAUGCCUUCUGAAAACACAUCUGGGUUGUUCUUCAGUUAGGUACAAAUGCCUGGGGGAAGGCCCUUUCCUCAGCCCAGCUUCCCCUCUCUGGGCUGCAAUUUUGGAGGCUCUCCCCAUGCUUUUUCUCCACCCAGGUACUGGUGUGGAAAAGUGGCUAAUUGCUCUGCCCUCCUUCCAGCAUCAAGGUCAGAAAACAGAAAUGCAGAGAGCAAAGUGAGCCCCCCUUUUAAAGCAUGGAAUUUGAGUUUCAAAGUGCAGCCAUCCAUCCUGGAUUAACAGCAGCAUUUUGCACAGGCCCCUUUCUGUCUGCAGGCAAGUCAGGCAGUGAGCUUUUCAGUGAUGACAGCAGGCCACAGUAUUUACUGAAGGCAGCAGAGUUGUUGGUUUGGGGACACAUGGGAAGACUGAAGGAAAAAGGAGGCCAGUCCCAGUCUCUGCCUCAGCUUCACUCAGGCUGGAGUCUUGGAGGUUGAAGUGAAUCCCAAGGACUCUGAAGAAAGCAGGCAUGAAGAAAUCUGGAAGGGAUUAAAAAAGAAUGUUGAGCAGAAGACUGGCAGAAGGUUAAGCAUCACAGAGACCACGACUUUAUUUUUAACACAAAGCGUUGUUGUAAAUCUCCUAGAAAUUCACUUGACACUCAACGUGCCACAGGUUUUCAGAAGUGUGAAUGCAUUAAUCACAGGUAAGGAGAUGGAGUUGCAGCUUACAGCAGAAGGAGGGAACUGGUAUCUGAAGAUCAAAGCAUGGCUCGUGCUUCCUCAGUACAAGCAGCAGUCCCUGAUGGCUGUUUUCUCUGUGGCUUCAGUUCCCUCCCAGUUAUGUCCCCCUAUCUGUCCUUGGUUAUACAGGCUAUAUGAAGAGUCUCUUGUAGAAAUUAAUCAAGUUUACGAGGCAGAGCUGAAUUGUGGUUGAACAAGUUUUCCUUGACAAGAGCAAAUAAAUGGAAGAGCCACAAAACUAAGAUGGGAAGCUAAUUGCAGACCCUGGAAUGUGUUGCUCUGCUUUUUUAGAAGGAAAAUGCAUUAUAUUUCAGAAAUGUAACAAAACAAGUGCUGUUUUGGUUUUAUAGUGAUGUGGUAUAUUUGUAUAUCCAAACCAGGCCUUUGCUACUGAAUCUCUGAAUGCUGGGGCUAUUAGGUCAUCCUGUUAUAGUUUCUAAAUAAGCAAUCAGCUAAUUAAGUUAUUUGGUAAAAAUUCACAUGUCUUUGCUGUGUCUCACAGCUUCCCCUACAGCAGUAGUUAAAAGCUGUUGUUGCUUUAUUCUCCUGUUUUGUUUGCAUGGAGCACUCUAGUUACUAUCAAAGGAGCAAAGUUCAGAGAGAUCACAGUGCAAAACUCAAGAGCUAAAAAUAAAGAACAGGUUAAAUUCUCAACACAAAAUUGGGCACAAUAACCACUGAAGUCAAAUGCAGCUCAGCUCCAGUUCUUGCCCGUGUCUGCCUGCAGGAACUCUUGUAUCAGGCUUAGUGGCCAUAAAUUGUACAGUCAAAUUUGAAUUUAAUAAAUCUUCAGGAACAUGUUUCUCAAAACUCUGACUAAACACAUCCUCCCAUGCUGUUUCGGCAGCUGUUUCCUGUGUCUCCCAACCCUACAAAAGCAACCUGAGUAAGGUGUCUGGCUGCUUGGACUCAGCAACUUAGCCAUAAAUCCCUAGCUGUCAUUCCUGUGCUGAAAGCUGUCAUGGGGCUGCUGGAGGAAAAAUUAUCCCCAGCUUCAGCCUUGCCUUCAGUCUAGACAUAUUCUCCUUACCUGGCAUGCCGUGGAAGUGAGAAGGUGUUCUGGAGCGUUCACUGAUGCUCCGUCUGGGAAUCAUGAUAAACAGAAAAUAUUUGACAACUGAAACUCAGCUUACAGCCCCUAAGUGCACCAGAGCAGCUCAGCACCUGCAGCCUCAGAAGCUGGGCUGGAAGAGAAGUCAAUUUUUUCAUACACUAUGUAAGGUUGUUAGCAGCCUCCUCAUUACGGGAGAUAGUUUAGGUAGUGAAAUAAAAUGCAGGAAUCCAGGCUCUAACGAACAGUGUGACAGAUCCGUGGAUGGGAUAAACUGGGGUGGAUAAAUUGUAGCUACAGCGUGUGGGAGCAGAGGAGGAAAUAACAAAUGUACAGCCGUGGACUGAAGUGAGGUCUGUACUUAGAUGAAACAUAUUCCUUAGCAAUAUCAGGGCUGCUGUUGUGGACUCUAAAUGGGUUCCUGUGAUGAGCCCGAUCUUUGAUGGUAUUGGAUUAAUAUC